CACUGCAUUCUGUGCAGUAUCCUAAGUUGAAUACAUAGACUUAGAGAAGCGAACCCGGAGAACUGAACCAUCUAAGUACCCGGAGGAAAAGAAAUCAACCGAGAUUCCGCAAGUAGUGGCGAGCGAACGCGGAGGAGCCUGUACGUGAUAAUUGUCGAGAUAGAAGAACAAGCUGGGAAGCUUGGCCAUAGUGGGUGAUAGUCCCGUAUUCGAAAUCUCAAUAGUGGUACUAAGCGUACGAAAAGUAGGGCGGGACACGUGAAAUCCUGUCUGAAUAUGGGGGGACCAUCCUCCAAGGCUAAAUACUCAUCAUCGACCGAUAGUGAACCAGUACCGUGAGGGAAAGGCGAAAAGAACCCCGGGAGGGGAGUGAAAUAGAACCUGAAACCUGAUGCAUACAAACAGUGGGAGCACUCUUAUGGUGUGACUGCGUACCUUUUGUAUAAUGGGUCAACGACUUACAUUCAGUAGCGAGCUUAACCGGAUAGGGGAGGCGUAGGGAAACCGAGUCUUAAUAGGGCGAAGAGUUGCUGGGUGUAGACCCGAAACCGAGUGAUCUAUCCAUGGCCAGGUUGAAGGUGCCGUAACAGGUACUGGAGGACCGAACCCACGCAUGUUGCAAAAUGCGGGGAUGAGCUGUGGAUAGGGGUGAAAGGCUAAACAAACUCGGAGAUAGCUGGUUCUCCCCGAAAACUAUUUAGGUAGUGCCUCGAGCAAGACACUGAUGGGGGUAAAGCACUGUUAUGGCUAGGGGGUUAUUGCAACUUACCAACCCAUGGCAAACUCAGAAUACCAUCAAGUGGUUCCUCGGGAGACAGACAGCGGGUGCUAACGUCCGUUGUCAAGAGGGAAACAACCCAGACCGCCAGCUAAGGUCCCAAAUGAUAGAUUAAGUGGUAAACGAAGUGGGAAGGCCCAGACAGCCAGGAUGUUGGCUUAGAAGCAGCCAUCAUUUAAAGAAAGCGUAAUAGCUCACUGGUCGAGUCGUCCUGCGCGGAAGAUGUAACGGGGCUCAAAUCUAUAACCGAAGCUGCGGAUACUAGUUUACUAGUAUGGUAGGGGAGCGUUCUGUAGGCCGAUGAAGGUGCAUUGUAAAGUGUACUGGAGGUAUCAGAAGUGCGAAUGUUGACAUGAGUAGCGAUAAAGCGGGUGAAAAGCCCGCUCGCCGAAAGCCCAAGGUUUCCUACGCAACGUUCAUCGGCGUAGGGUGAGUCGGCCCCUAAGGCGAGGCAGAAAUGCGUAGUCGAUGGGAAACAGGUUAAUAUUCCUGUACUUGAUUCAAAUGCGAUGUGGGGACGGAGAAGGUUAGGUUAGCAAGCUGUUGGAAUAGCUUGUUUAAGCCGGUAGGUGGAAGACUUAGGCAAAUCCGGGUCUUCUUAACACCGAGAAGUGACGACGAGUGUCUACGGACAUGAAGUAACCGAUACCACGCUUCCAGGAAAAGCCACUAAGCUUCAGUUUGAAUCGAACCGUACCGCAAACCGACACAGGUGGGCAGGAUGAGAAUUCUAAGGCGCUUGAGAGAACUCGGGAGAAGGAACUCGGCAAAUUGAUACCGUAACUUCGGGAGAAGGUAUGCCCUCUAAGGUUAAGGACUUGCUCCGUAAGCCCUGGAGGGUCGCAGAGAAUAGGUGGCUGCGACUGUUUAUUAAAAACACAGCACUCUGCUAACACGAAAGUGGACGUAUAGGGUGUGACGCCUGCCCGGUGCUGGAAGGUUAAUUGAAGAUGUGAGAGCAUCGGAUCGAAGCCCCAGUAAACGGCGGCCGUAACUAUAACGGUCCUAAGGUAGCGAAAUUCCUUGUCGGGUAAGUUCCGACCCGCACGAAUGGCGUAACGAUGGCCACACUGUCUCCUCCCGAGACUCAGCGAAGUUGAAGUGGUUGUGAAGAUGCAAUCUACCCGCUGCUAGACGGAAAGACCCCGUGAACCUUUACUGUAGCUUUGCAUUGGACUUUGAAGUCACUUGUGUAGGAUAGGUGGGAGGCUUUGAAGCAGAGACGCUAGUCUCUGUGGAGCCGUCCUUGAAAUACCACCCUGGUGGCUUUGAGGUUCUAACCCAGACCCGUUAUCCGGGUCGGGGACCGUGCAUGGUAGGC
rnacentral:rRNA from 1 species